ensembl:lncRNA
GGGAGAGACAUUUAGUUAUUUAUUGGAAUUGCAGUAUAGCUGUUUUCACAAAUGCUCGAUACAUCAUCUCAUCAUAAGAUGAUUGUUGUGUAAUAAAUACAAGAUAGUCGUGUCUAUCGAGAAUAAUGUGGUCAUUAUGUGACCCCCAGAACACCACGACAACCCUCAAGCCAAAUGAUCUGUCACACAUUGGUGAGGUUGACGGAGUGUGAUUUCCUUAGAGAGAAUCUGAACACAGAUGUUUUAUUUUUCCUUAACUUAUCUAAAUCUAAAUUAGCUUAAUUACAAUUAGAAAACAAAACAUACAUUCAUACAACAAUAAUACAAUCAGAAUACUACAAUUUGGUAAGGCACACAACUGUCUGUAUAAGGUCCCCCAGUUUACAGUGUAUUUCAGAGCAAAAACCAAGCCAAAACGUUGAAAGAAUUGUCCGUAGAGCUCAGAUCUAGGGUAGGGUAGCAAAACAUUUCUGUAGCAUUGAAGGUUCCCAAGAGCCAACAAAAGUGGCAUCCAUCUUUGUUAAAUGGAAGAAGUUUGGACCUACCAACACUCUCCCUAUAGCUGGUCGCCCGGCCAACCGAAACAAUCUGGGAGAAGGUCCUUGGAACAUGGAGGUGAGACCACUCAGUAAAAAGCAUAUGAAAGCCCAUUUGCAUGACCCUAACCACACAGCCAAGACAAGGCAGGGGUGGCUUCAAGACAAGUCUGUGAAUUUCCUUUAGUGGCCCAGAACACACACUUGAAAACUAUGAAACAUCUGUGGAAAGACCUAAAAUGUCUGACAGAGCUUAACAGGACAAGCUAUGUAGCACACAAGUCAACACAUGGUGUCAACACAUGUAAACAAACUACUUUUCCCAUGAGAACCACAGACUGAGGACACCAAAACAAUAUGAUAUAUAUUUUGUUAAAUUUCUUUUCCCAAAUUCUCCCCAAAUCUACACAAAAGGUUUGCACCUUUUGAUACUGAUCGUAAUUAUAGAUUAUACAAAAAUAAACAACGUAUAUUACACAUUCAACCCAAAUGGGAGGUUAACGUUUUCUGUUAUUCAUAAGUAAUUACGUGGAUUAUAAUUCAUGUGCAUUUUGUUGUUUGAUUUGACAUUUCUAAG